rnacentral:rRNA from 1 species
UACGUAGGGGGCAAGCGUUGUCCGGAUUUAUUGGGCGUAAAGAGCGUGUAGGCGGCCACGCAGGUCCGUUGUGAAAACUGGAGGCUCAACCUUCAGACGUCGACGGAAACCGUGUGGCUAGAGUCCGGAAGAGGAGAGUGGAAUUCCUGGUGUAGCGGUGAAAUGCGCAGAUACUCAGGAAGAACACCCGUGGCUAAGGCGGCUCUCUAGUACGGUACUGACGCUGAGACGCGAAAGCGUGGGGAGCGAACAG